UGACGUCAUUUGUACUUGACGAGUUUGGAAGAUGACGGACGACGCGGGUUUCUUAAUGGUAUAACCUGGGGGGAAAUGCUUUUUUUUUUGUUAGCGAGGAACAAAUUCAAACCCCGGAUGUUAAUUCCGAAAUUGUACACAUGACUUCAACGAGAAAAUAUUUCACUUUGCUCCCCUGCUCACGCUGGAUGUGCAUGUAUACCGCCCUAUCCAACAGCUAACUGCGCGCGCCAGACUGAGGUUACUCAAGCUACCUCUGAGUGGGCCAAGCGCUGGCCAUUAGAGGCUCCGCGGGCGAUGGGCGAGACGCGCAUCCCUCUGGGGAGGACGGAGAGAGGACGGCGAGGGAAGCAAGAGAGAUUAGUUCAUCCAUUGAAACAAACUUGACGGAAAUGGUGGACGCUCUCAUUAUUCAUUCUCUCCCUGUCAACAUGAGGUUCUGAGGAUUUUCAAAGGACUUUUCUUUUGGAGGGCAGAGUUUGGAGAAGGGCGGGGGGCUGGCGUUGUGCUGGACGCGUGUCAAACGGUCAAUCUAAAUCCAUGGAAACUAACAUGGAAACUAUCAAGCAAUUUACAGCCGUGCCAACCGGCCCUAUUGGAUUCCUUUA